UGGGGAAUAUUGCACAAUGGGCGAAAGCCUGAUGCAGCGACGCCGCGUGAGCGAAGAAGUAUCUCGGUAUGUAAAGCUCUAUCAGCAGGGAAGAAAAUGACGGUACCUGACUAAGAAGCCCCGGCUAACUACGUGCCAGCAGCCGCGGUAAUACGUAGGGGGCAAGCGUUAUCCGGAUUUACUGGGUGUAAAGGGAGCGUAGACGGAGAGGCAAGUCUGAUGUGAAAGCCCGGGGCUCAACCCCGGGACUGCAUUGGAAACUGUUUAUCUAGAGUGCCGGAGGGGUAAGUGGAAUUCCUAGUGUAGCGGUGAAAUGCGUAGAUAUUAGGAGGAACACCAGUGGCGAAGGCGGCUUACUGGACGGUAACUGACGUGGAGGCUCGAAAGCGUGGGGAGCAAACAGG
rnacentral:rRNA from 1 species